rnacentral:rRNA from 1 species
GACGAACGCUGGCGGCGUGCCUAACACAUGCAAGUUGAGCGACGAACCAGGGCUUGCCCUGGGGCAAAGCAGCGAACGGGUGAGUAACACGUGGGUAACCUACCCCGAUAACCGGGACAACCCGAGGAAACUCGGGCUAAUACCGGAUGUGCUCACUGGACUUCGGUUCAGUGCGUGAAGGAAGCUUCGGCCUCCGUAUCGGGAGGGGCCCGCGGCCCAUUAGUUUGUUGGUGAGGUAACGGCUCGCCAAGACCGCGAUGGGUAGCUGGUCUGAGAGGACGAUCAGCCACACUGGGACUGAGACACGGCCCAGACUCCUACGGGAGGCAGCAGUGGGGAAUCUUGCGCAAUGCGCGAAGGCGUGACGCAGCAACGCCGCGUGGGGGAAGAAGGCCUUCGGGUUGUAAACCCCUUUCAGGAGGGACGAAGGUGCGGCGGUGAAUAGCCGUCCGGACUGACGGCACCUCCACAAGAAGCCCCGGCUAACUACGUG